UCACCCCGCGUCCCGGAUCCCCGCCUCGCGCCGUGCUACCCAAUCGCACGCUGCCUUCGUGAUUUGCAUGCUUCCCCAAGUCACUGCAGCCAAUCGCCGACCGCUUGCCUCUUCACUUUGCCCGCCCCGAGAGGUAUUAGCCAAUCAAAAGUCGGUAUCCCGUCUAGAGGCUAAUUGCCGAACGAAGCCGCACACCGCCUUCCGCGCCUUACGGGCCAAUCGCAAAUAGGCUUCGCGUCACACCGCGCAUGCCAAUUGCUGUCGUUCUAACCUCGUUUUCCCGCCCCUAUCAACUCUGGCCUAUGGGUAACCGUCUCCACACCCUUAUUUGCCUGCCCAGUACUGAACUGGCCAAUCGGAGACCCUCGCUGACUAUCGUUAGGCUGGCAAAUCACUGACUGUCGUCCUGCGUCCCGCCUUGAGAUGGCCAAUCUUGAACAACUCUACCGAGUUCUCUCUUGUAGUUGCCCUCCAGAUUUCCAGAUUCUCCCGAAAUUCCUGAAAAGGGGAUCGGACUGUGGCCAUGACUACCGGGGUGGAAGUCCAAUCCCGCAGAGACUCGAGAGAGUGGGGGCGGGGCUACAGUUCUGCGGCGCGCGCAGGCCGCUGGGAUUCUUGUGUAGACGUUGACCUUGGUCCUGACGACUGCUGGGUGUCUGACCUCAGUUCAAGAAUAAUAUAAUUAAAACGUUAGGCACUGUUCUGGGCACAUGACGUGCAUUAAGACAUUUCACAGCAACUUUGUGUUGCUGCAGGGACAGUUUUAUCACCUUGUUAUUUCCUGUGUUCCUGGAGGGGAAAAUGUGAGUUUCAAUGGAAAUCUAUGCGUUACCUACAGGAACAGGGUGUCGCAAACUGUCGCCUGUGGGCCAAAUCCUGUCGGCGCCGGUUUUGGUGAGGCUCGCGAGCUAAGAAUUCUCUUACCUUUUUUAAUUGGUCGGUGAAAAAAUCCAAAUAAUAUUCUGGGACAUGUGAAAAUUAUAUGAAAUUCAAAUUUCCGAAUCCAUAAAUAAAGCUAUGUUGGAACACAGUCAUGCCCAUUUGUUUCUUUAUUGUCUACUCUCAUUACAAUGAGCAGUUGCAACAAAGAUUGUAUGGUCUGCAAAAACUAAACUAUUUACUAUUUGACUCUUUACAAAAAAUUUUUUUUUCCUCUUUGUUAGAGGACACCCUUCAGGGUUUUCUGAUUUUGAUUCUAUGGGAGAUAUUUUAUAAACCCUGUGGUUAUAACUGAUAACAGGGAAAAAUAAUUCUUCCCUAUAGACAUGCAAAUGAAUUCUGAGUGGAGAGAUGCCCACCCCCCAUUUUUUUGCCUUCAUUUGCACAUUCAUUUUACUGUGCUUGUUUUGUCUUGUUGUUUGGUUCUUCUUUGAAAUGGGUUUAACGCCUGACCAGUUAGUUCCCUUUAUUAACAACGAGUUAACAAUUUUUAACACAUGCUCAAUUUUAUUUCUGUAUGAGAGUCGUGAUUUUUACCUUUUUUGGGAAAAUUAUCCUUCAACACUUCCUACUGCUGUCAAGUAACUCAGUCUGGUAUUCCAGGUUCCAGAUUUUACUGCAUUUUUGUGGAAAACCUCCAAAAUGGUUAAAAGAGGGGGGAAAGUCAAAUUAUGAUUCACGAAACAGAGUCAGGUCAACUUUUUCAGCAGAGAAGUGCAUUUCAUGGUGGCUGAAGCCCUGGCAACUCCAAGAGUUUCUAGGGCUUCCCUGGUGGUGCAGUGGAUAAGAACCUGCCUGCCAAUGCAGGGGACAUGGGUUCCAUCCCUGGUCCAGGAAGAUCCCACAUGCCACGGAGCAACUAAGCCCGUGCGCCACAACUACUGAGUCUGUGCUCUAGAGCCCGUGCUCCGCAGCAAGAGAAGCUACCGCAAUGAGAAGCCCGUGCACGGCAGCGAAGAGUAGCCCCUGCUCGCCACAACUAGAGAAAGCCUGCGUGCAGCCACGAAGACCCAACACAGCCAAAAAUAAAUAAAUUAAAAAAAAAAUGUUUCUAGGUCUUCCCUGGUGGCGCAGUGGUUGAGAGUCCGCCUGCCGAUGCAGGGGACACGGGUUCGUGCCCCGGUCUGGGAAGAUCCCACAUGCCGCGGCGCGGCUGGGCCUGUGAGCCAUGGCCGCUGAGCCUGCGCGUCCGGAGCCUGUGCUCCGCAACGGGAGAGGCCACAACAGUGAGACGCCUGUGUACCGCAAAAAAAAAAAAAAAAAAAAAAAAGUUUCCAGAAUCAUUUUGGAAACUUGAAACCUUAUACUAAGUUAAGUGAAAUGGUGGAUAUUCAUUGAAUAUGUAGAUAAUUUUCAAAUAUGAGAAAAUACUGAAAUAUUAAUCACUAAACAUAAGUUUAUCUCGUUGGCUUCUUAAGUUUUACAAAGGAACUAGUGAUGUUUCCGUUAGUAAACACGUCCUUUGCCACAUCAAAAAAUUGUAUUAUAAGGAAGCAUAUGCCUCUAGAAAUUAUGAAAUGAUGUAUUCAUAAAUUUGCUAAUCUACUAUAGAAUGUUGGUAUGGCCACAGGCAGUUUACAAUUGCUUGCUUCCUAGUUUUCCCUGGAACUUAGGGUUAUGAAUUAUAAUCAAUGUAAGUAAAUGAAACUGCUAGGAAUAAUAAAGUUACAGAAAAAAAACUCUGUAUGUGAAGUGUGCACGGAAAAUAAGAUGUGUUUCUGCAGGAAAGAGUAUGAGGUAUGAAGGAUGCGCUCUUUUUUUUUUAAUUAGCAAGUAUUUAAUGUAAUUUAUUUAUGUUUGGCUGCGUUGGGUCUUCGUUGCUGUGCAUGGGCUUUCUCUAGUUGCGGCGAGCGGGGACUACUCUUCGUUGCGGUGCGCGGGCUUCUCAUUGUGGUGGCUUCUCGUUGUGGAGCACAGGCUCUAGGCGCGUGGGCUUCAGUAGUUGUGGCACACAGGCUCAGUAGUUGUGGCAGUCGGGCUUAGUUGCUCCACGGCAUGUGAUAUCUUCCUGGACCAGUGAUUGAACCCUUGUCCCCUGCAUAGGCAGGCAGAUUCUUAACCACUGAGCCACCAGGGAAGUCCAAGGAUGCGUUCUUAGGAAGGAAAGAGAAGAGUAAUUUUGUCCUUGUUUAAGGGUAUUUAGUGAUUGCCUCAAAAUACAAAAGAGGAAAAUAAAGGAGAAAAACCUAAAUGGAUUUAGAAAGUUGGAGAGGGAGAAAGAGGAAAUCUUAUCUUGUGUGGUCAAAUUGGCAAAAAUUAAAUGGAUUAUUAUAAGAAUUUUAAAAAUGAGCUUUAUUUAAAAUUGUUUUUAUUGAAAUAUAGUUGAUUUACAAUGUUGCAUUAGUUGCAGGUGUACAGCAAAGUGAUUCAGUUAUACAUACAUAUAUACCUAUCUAUUCCUUUUUAAAUUCUUUUUCAUUAUAGGUUAUUACAAGAUAUUGAGUAUAGUUCCCUGUGCCGUACAGUAGGUCCUUGUUGGUUAUCAACAAUGAGCUUUAAUAUCAAUAAUGUGACUAUGCAAAACUAGAAUUUGACUUUCUUUCUCUGUUAAAAGAAUAACAUUUUCUUGGAUUAUUGUAAGAGAUUUUUCUUUACCUGUUAAGUAAUUCAUAUAGAAAACAAAGAUUCUGUUUUAUCAAAAUGUUGUCUUUAUCAAGUCUUUAAUUAGGAAAACUGAGUCGUCUCAAAAGAGCUGGAGCUUUUUCUUUUAUUA